rnacentral:rRNA from 1 species
GGACCCGCACAAGUAGUGGAGCAUGUGGUUUAAUUCGAAGAUACGCGCAGAACCUUACCAACACUUGACAUGUUCGUCGCGACUUUGAGAGAUCAAAGUUUUCGGUUCGGCCGGACGAAACACAGGUGCUGCAUGGCUGUCGUCAGCUCGUGUCGUGAGAUGUUGGGUUAAGUCCCGCAACGAGCGCAACCCUCACUUUUAGUUGCCAUCAUUAAGUUGGGCACUCUGAAAGAACUGCCAGUGAUAAGCUGGAGGAAGGUGGGGAUGACGUCAAGUCCUCAUGGCCCUUACGUGUUGGGCUACACACGUGCUACAAUGGUAUCUACAACAGGAAGCAAGACUGCGAAGUC